rnacentral:rRNA from 1 species
ACACAUGCAAGUCGAACGAGAGAGAAGGAGCUUGCUUCUUCGAUCGAGUGGCGAACGGGUGAGUAACGCGUGAGGAACCUGCCUCAAAGAGGGGGACAACAGUUGGAAACGACUGCUAAUACCGCAUAAGCCCACGGGUCGGCAUCGAUCUGAGGGAAAAGGAGCAAUCCGCUUUGAGAUGGCCUCGCGUCCGAUUAGCUAGUUGGUGAGGUAACGGCCCACCAAGGCGACGAUCGGUAGCCAGACUGAGAGGUUGAACGGCCACAUUGGGACUGAGACACGGCCCAGACUCCUACGGGAGGCAGCAGUGGGGAAUAUUGCACAAUGGGGGAAACCCUGAUGCAGCGACGCCGCGUGGAGGAAGAAGGUCUUCGGAUUGUAAACUCCUGUUGUUGAGGAAGAUAAUGACGGUACUCAACAAGGAAGUGACGGCUAACUACGUGCCAGCAGCCGCGGUAAAACGUAGGUCACAAGCGUUGUCCGGAAUUACUGGGUGUAAAGGGAGCGCAGGCGGGAAGACAAGUUGGAAGUGAAAUCUAUGGGCUCAACCCAUAAACUGCUUUCAAAACUGUUUUUCUUGAGUAGUGCAGAGGUAGGCGGAAUUCCCGGUGUAGCGGUGGAAUGCGUAGAUAUCGGGAGGAACACCAGUGGCGAAGGCGGCCUACUGGGCACCAACUGACGCUGAGGCUCGAAAGUGUGGGUAGCAAACAGGAUUAGAUACCCUGGUAGUCCACACCGUAAACGAUGAUUACUAGGUGUUGGAGGAUUGACCCCUUCAGUGCCGCAGUUAACACAAUAAGUAAUCCACCUGGGGAGUACGACCGCAAGGUUGAAACUCA